rnacentral:other from 1 species
CACCCCCUGCUGUGUGCGGCAGCAUAUCUUUGUUAUAAUCCAACACUUUUUUUACGGGAGCCUGGCUCUCUGUCAACGAUCGCAGACCUCCCGGCUUUGCCGGACGAAGGGAGCGUGAACGCCGGAGGAAGGCACCCUUCCUGUCUUAGACGGGUUUUAUCCGGGUAUGCACCGGCAUGGUGGGGUUUGG